UACGGAGGGUGCAAGCGUUAAUCGGAUUCAUUGGGCGUAAAGAGCACGUAGGCGGAAUAGAAAGUUAGAUGUGAAAGCCCGGGGCUCAACUCCGGACCCGCGUCUAAAACUCCUAUUCUAGAGGAUGGACGGAGAAAAGGGAAUUCCACGUGUAGCGGUGAAAUGCGUAGAUAUGUGGAAGAACACCGGUGGCGAAGGCGCUUUUCUAGUUUAUGCCUGACGCUGAGGUGCGAAAGCAAGGGGAGCAAACAGG
rnacentral:rRNA from 1 species